AUUGAACGCUGGCGGCAGGCCUAACACAUGCAAGUCGAGCGGCUGAAGAGAGCUUGCUUUCUGAUUCAGCGGCGGACGGGUGCGUAAUGGCUAGGAAUCUGCCUGGUAGUGGGGGACAACGUUUCGUAAGGAACGCUAAUACUGCAUACGUCCUCCGGGAGAAAGCAGGGGACCAUCGGGCGUUGCGCUAUCAGCUGAGCCUCGGUCGGAUUAGCUAGUAGGGGAGGUAAAGUCUCACCUAGGCGACGAUCCGUAACUGGUACGAGAGGAUGAACGGCCACACUGGAACUGAGACACGGCCCAGACUCCUACGGGAGGCAGCAGUGGGGAAUAUUGGACAAUGGGCGAAAGCCUGAUCCAGCCAUGCCGCGUGUGUGAAGAAGGUCGUCGGGUUGUAAAGCACUUUAGUUUGGGAAGAAAGGUAGUAAGUUAAUACCUUACUGUUUUGACGUUACCAACAGAAUAAGCACCGGCUAACUUCGUGCCAGCCGCCGCAGUAAAAC
rnacentral:rRNA from 1 species